CUCAGGACGAACGCUGGCGGCGUGCUUAACACAUGCAAGUCGAACGGAAAGGCCCUGCUUGCAGGUACUCGAGUGGCGAACGGGUGAGUAACACGUGGGUGAUCUGCCCUGCACUUCGGGAUAAGCUUGGGAAACUGGGUCUAAUACCGGAUAGGAGCCAUCUUUAGUGUGGUGGUUGGAAAGUUUUUUCGGUGUAGGAUGAGCUCGCGGCCUAUCAGCUUGUUGGUGGGGUAAUGGCCUACCAAGGCGGCGACGGGUAGCCGGCCUGAGAGGGUGUACGGCCACAUUGGGACUGAGAUACGGCCCAGACUCCUACGGGAGGCAGCAGUGGGGAAUAUUGCACAAUGGGCGCAAGCCUGAUGCAGCGACGCCGCGUGGGGGAUGAAGGCCUUCGGGUUGUAAACUCCUUUCGCUAGGGACGAAGCUUUGUUGUGACGGUACCUAGAUAAGAAGCACCGGCUAACUACGUGCCAGCAGCCGCGGUAAUACGUAGGGUGCGAGCGUUGUCCGGAAUUACUGGGCGUAAAGGGCUCGUAGGUGGUUUGUCGCGUCGUCUGUGAAAUUCUGGGGCUUAACUCCGGGCGUGCAGGCGAUACGGGCAUAACUUGAGUGCUGUAGGGGUAACUGGAAUUCCUGGUGUAGCGGUGAAAUGCGCAGAUAUCAGGAGGAACACCGAUGGCGAAGGCAGGUUAC
rnacentral:rRNA from 1 species